rnacentral:lncRNA from 1 species
UUUAGCAAUCCGUCUUAGAUGAAUAUUUCAGGUGAAUUUCUAAGAAUGAAUUUUGCUUCACUCGUUAAACUAUACAUCCCGAUGAACCUCUGACCGUUUCCAUCAGCGCAACGAAUAUAUCGGUAUACUGUAUAUGAUAGUUGUCGUAGGAACAUGUUACGAUGGAAACCCGUUAUUCGCAUCAACCUUACUCUUCUCGUCAUGUGUUCUGGGCUGCCAUUUUGGUAAUAAACCAAUCCACUGUAAAUCAUGUCAUUCGUAGGGAGUAAUAAAGUGGCAUGUCAACUCUUCGUCCCCAACGCAGGAGUGCCUUAUGUAACUAAUUUAUCGUUGUUUGCUCAUGCUGCCUUUGGUAGCUACUUGAAUAUUGCCAGCUAUCAAUGGUACAAGAACAAUAUCACGACUGGAGGGACCAUCUACCUGCUUUUUGUCUUAUGCGUCGUUAUCUCCUCCACAAUAGCCAACCCGUUUCGGAUGGGCACUGAAAACAUACGAAAUUGUACAGUGAGUCUUAUCCAUAUGCACUCUAUGAUGAUUUACAACUUAGUUUGGGAGUCCUUUGUGUCGUGUUGCACAUAAUGAUUAUGCGUCAAUCGCGAGCGAUCAUAAACAGACAUCCACUGCAUUCCCAGCAAAAUUGUAUCACGCUCCAGUUUCUCCAAAAUCCUUCUACAAACAUAGUUCCGGGUAAGCUGAUUCAGAAAACCAGGGAAAUAUAAAAAAGGUAUCCACGAAUGCAGCCAUUUAAUUACCACAGACGUUCUAGUUACGACUAGAUGUAGGAGGAAUACCUAACUGACCCGUAUUUACUAAUGCCACCAACCUUUUAGUAAAGUAGCAGCGGUUGCAGUGACCGAAGGGUCUUUUUCAAGGCGAAUCUGGUUGACCCAACGAGCACUCCCUUUUCAUGCUGUCAAGCGCAAAUCCUAGAACCGGAAUGGAAUGAGAAUGAGAAGGAGGAGGAGAAGAAGAAGAAGAAGAAGAAAAAAAUUUUUUCUUUUGGUUUUGCAAUCUUCCUAAAUUCAACAGAAGGGAAUUUAAACCUGAUGUAAGUAUUUCUAUAAAUUUUUUACCUGUGUGGCUAUGUACUGUUACUCUGAACCCAAUGUGCUGAUGCAUUCGUCUCGGAAAGAAUUGCCCAAAACUUUACCAACUAAUCCUUGCAUUUACAAUUGGCACCACAUUUACGUAAUUUAUGAUCCCCGCAUGUACAUAUUAACUAGCACAGAAUUCAAAUGGGCUUUGAUUAACUCAAAAAAUAAAAAAACAAAACAAAAAAACUUAGAUAAAAUAAUCCCAGAUAAAAACAAAUAAUGUUGAAUGGGGAAAAAAACGGUGGCAAUCUGGUGACAUAAGUUUAUAAGCCAAAUUAAGAACAUCGUUUCCUAACGAGUACUUGAUAAUCAGCUUCCAUGGCACGGAAACAUGAAUACUGCUGUAAUAAUUUGAGUGAACGUAUUGGAGCUCGACCCAAAAUCUGUUCAACAUCAGAAGCCAUCCUACCAAGGGUACAGAAAUCAAGAAUUUGCCCAACGGGAUAAUUUGAUUGAUUUUCAUGCCCCAUAGCUGAAUCAAUAAAUGAGUGAGUGAGUUGGA